GGGAUUGCCCUAGUAACGGCGAGUGAAGCGGCAACAGCUCAAAUUUGAAAUCUGGCCCUAGGCCCGAGUUGUAAUUUGCAGAGGAUGCUUUUGGUGACGCGCUUACCGAGUCCCCUGGAACGGGGCGCCAGAGAGGGUGAGAGCCCCGUACGGUUUGACGCCGAGCCUCUGUAAAGCUCCUUCGACGAGUCGAGUAGUUUGGGAAUGCUGCUCUAAAUGGGAGGUAAAUUUCUUCUAAAGCUAAAUAUUGGCCCGAGACCGAUAGCGCACAAGUAGAGUGAUCGAAAGAUGAAAAGCACUUUGAAAAGAGGGUUAAAUAGCACGUGAAAUUGUUGAAAGGGAAGCGCUCGUGACCAGACUUGCGCCGGGCGGAUCAUCCAGCGUUCUCGCUGGUGCACUCCGCCCGGCUCAGGCCAGCAUCGGUUUUCGCCGGGGGACAAAAGCUUCGGGAACGUAGCUCCUCUCGGGGAGUGUUAUAGCCCGUUGCGUAAUACCCCGGCGGGGACCGAGGACCGCGCUUCGGCAAGGAUGCUGGCGUAAUGGUCAUCAGCGACCCGUCUUGAAACACGGACCGAGGAGUCAAGCAUUAGUGCGAGUGUUUGGGUGUAAAACCCGCACGCGUAAUGAAAGUGAACGUAGGUGAGAGCUUCGGCGCAUCAUCGACCGAUCCUGAUGUUUUCGGAUGGAUUUGAGUAGGAGCAUUAACGCUUGGACCCGAAAGAUGGUGAACUAUACUUGAAUAGGGUGAAGCCAGAGGAAACUCUGGUGGAGGCUCGCAGCGGUUCUGACGUGCAAAUCGAUCGUCAAAUUUG
rnacentral:rRNA from 1 species